UACGUAGGGUGCGAGCGUUGUCCGGAAUUACUGGGCGUAAAGCGCUCGUAGGUGGUUUGUCGCGUUGUUCGUGAAAACUCACAGCUUAACUGUGGGCGUGCGGGCGAUACGGGCAGACUGGAGUACUGCAGGGGAGACUGGAAUUCCUGGUGUAGCGGUGGAAUGCGCAGAUAUCAGGAGGAACACCGGUGGCGAAGGCGGGUCUCUGGGCAGUAACUGACGCUGAGGAGCGAAAGCGUGGGGAGCGAACAGG
rnacentral:rRNA from 1 species